AGCAGCCGCGGUAAUUCCAGCUCCAAUAGCGUAUAUUAAAGUUGUUGCAGUUAAAAAGCUCGUAGUUGAAUUUCGGGGUCAGUAGGUUGGUCAUGCCUUCGGUAUGUACUGGUCUCACUGAUUCCUCCCUCUUGAGGAACUGUAAUGUCAUUAAUUUGGUGUUGCGGGGAAACAGGACUGUUACUUUGAAAAAAUUAGGGUGUUUAAAGCAGGCUCACGCUUGAAUACAUUAGCAUGGAAUAAUGAAAUAGGACGAUCGAUCCUAUUUUGUUGGUUUCCAGGAUUGACGUAAUGAUUAAUAGGGAUAGUUGGGGGCAUUAGUAUUCAAUUGUCAGAGGUGAAAUUCUUGGAUUUAUUGAAGACUAACUACUGCGAAAGCAUUUGCCAAGGGUGUUUUCAUUAAUCAAGAACGAAAGUUAGGGAUCGAAGACGAUCAGAUACCGUCGUAGUCUUAACCAUUAAACUAUGCCGACUAGGGAUCGGAUGAUGUUAAUUUUUAAUGUACUCAUUCGGCGCCUUA
rnacentral:rRNA from 1 species